rnacentral:rRNA from 1 species
CCUACGGGGGGCAGCAGUGGGGAAUAUUGCACAAUGGGCGCAAGCCUGAUGCAGCCAUGCCGCGUGUGUGAAGAAGGCCUUCGGGUUGUAAAGCACUUUCAGCGGGGAGGAAGGCGGUGAGGUUAAUAACCUCAUCGAUUGACGUUACCCGCAGAAGAAGCACCGGCUAACUCCGUGUCAGCAGCCGCGGUAAUACGGAGGGUGCAAGCGUUAAUCGGAAUUACUGGGCGUAAAGCGCACGCAGGCGGUCUGUCAAGUCGGAUGUGAAAUCCCCGGGCUCAACCUGGGAACUGCAUUCGAAACUGGCAGGCUAGAGUCUUGUAGAGGGGGGUAGAAUUCCAGGUGUAGCGGUGAAAUGCGUAGAGAUCUGGAGGAAUACCGGUGGCGAAGGCGGCCCCCUGGACAAAGACUGACGCUCAGGUGCGAAAGCGUGGGGAGCAAACAGGAUUAGAUACCCUAGUAGUC